UACGAGGGGUCCUAGCGUUGUUCGGAAUCAUUGGGCGUAAAGGGUGCGUAGGUGGCCAUUCAAGUCAGUUGUGAAAUCCCCGGGCUCAACCCGGGAAGUGCUUCUGAUACUGAUUGGCUUGAGUACUGGAGAGGAUAGUAGAAUUCCAGGUGUAGUGGUGAAAUACGUAGAUAUCUGGAGGAAUACCGGUGGCGAAGGCGGCAUCCUGGACCGGCAUUGACGCUGAGGCGCGAAAGCCAGGGGAGCAAACGGG
rnacentral:rRNA from 1 species